rnacentral:rRNA from 1 species
UACGAAGGGGGCUAGCGUUGCUCGGAAUUACUGGGCGUAAAGGGCGCGUAGGCGGAUAGUUCAGUCGGGGGGUGAAAGCCCGGGGCUCAACCUCGGAACUGCCUUCGAUACUGGCUAUCUUGAGUACGGGAGAGGUGUGUGGAACUCCGAGUGUAGAGGUGAAAUUCGUAGAUAUUCGGAAGAACACCAGUGGCGAAGGCGACUUACUGGCUCGAUACUGACGCUAAGGCGCGAAAGCGUGGGGAGCAAACAGGG